rnacentral:rRNA from 1 species
GAUGAACGCUAGCGGGAGGCCUAACACAUGCAAGUCGAACGGGAUUGGUAGCAAUACCAUGAGAGUGGCGCACGGGUGAGUAACGCGUAUGCAACCUGCCUGUAACAGAGGGAUAGCCCAUAGAAAUGUGGAUUAAUACCUCAUAGUCCUGGGAAUCCGCAUGGUUUUCCAGGUAAAACUCCGGUGGUUACAGAUGGGCAUGCGUGACAUUAGCUAGUUGGUGAGGUAACGGCUCACCAAGGCAACGAUGUCUAGGGGUUCUGAGAGGAUGAUCCCCCACACUGGUACUGAGACACGGACCAGACUCCUACGGGAGGCAGCAGUGAGGAAUAUUGGUCAAUGGGCGCAAGCCUGAACCAGCCAUCCCGCGUGCAGGAUGACGGCCCUAUGGGUUGUAAACUGCUUUUAUACAGGAAGAAAAUCUCCACGUGUGGGGACUUGCCGGUACUGUAUGAAUAAGCAUCGGCUAACUCCGUGCCGGCAGCCG